UGCUAAGAAAGAAAUAAAAGCUGGAAUAAUAUUCUCACACCUAGAAAUCGGUAAAACCAGCUUAGUCAGGGUCACUUCAGGACCAGAGAGAGGUUGGCACUGUGGCGUGCUUCCCACAAGCACUAACAGUUCUGGAGAGGAGCAAGUAUUUUCACAGCUGCAGGUCGGAGUGCGGAGCUUUCUACUGUCAAUGUGUUCACCUCCUCAACAGAGGAAGAUCAGAAAGAAAAAAACGUUUCAGCUGCCUCUGUGUCACUUUUCUGGAUGAAAUUUUCCUACGUGAAUGUAAGGAUGGGCCAAUCCUAACGAGCACAGUGCAAAGCCAUAGCUCCGUCUGA
rnacentral:lncRNA from 1 species